CCAAGUCGUACAAAGAACAGGAAAAUCGAAGCACUGCGAUUUGAAGGGGAGAUUAUGACAGAAAUCGAUAGGAAGAAAAAAGAAAAAAAAUUGAUAGUGGGAAACCAACAAAAAAAAGUCAGAAAGGGGAGAGGUUUUUGGGAAAAAGUUAAAAAUUAAAAAGAAAAUAAAAUGAAUCCAAAUUAAUAAAAAUCCUAACUCUCCCCAC
rnacentral:lncRNA from 1 species